GACGAACGCUGGCGGCGUGCUUAACACAUGCAAGUCGAACGGAAAGGCCCUGCUUGCAGGGUACUCGAGUGGCGAACGGGUGAGUAACACGUGGGUGAUCUGCCCUGCACUUCGGGAUAAGCCUGGGAAACUGGGUCUAAUACCGGAUAGGAGCCAUUUUUAGUGUGAUGGUUGGAAAGUUUUUUCGGUGUAGGGUGAGCUCGCGGCCUAUCAGCUUGUUGGUGGGGUAAUGGCCUACCAAGGCGGCGACGGGUAGCCGGCCUGAGAGGGUGGACGGCCACAUUGGGACUGAGAUACGGCCCAGACUCCUACGGGAGGCAGCAGUGGGGAAUAUUGCACAAUGGGCGCAAGCCUGAUGCAGCGACGCCGCGUGGGGGAUGACGGCCUUCGGGUUGUAAACGCCUUUCGCUAGGGACGAAGCUUUUUGUGACGGUACCUAGAUAAGAAGCACCGGCUAACUACGUG
rnacentral:rRNA from 1 species